GAUGAACGCUGGCGGCGUGCUUAACACAUGCAAGUCGAACGAACCUUCGGGUUAGUGGCAGACGGGUGAGUAACGCGUGGGAAUUUACCCAGUGGUACGGAAUAACUCAGGGAAACUUGUGCUAAUACCGUAUAAGCCCUUCGGGGGAAAGAUUUAUCGCCAUUGGAUGAGCCCGCGUUAGAUUAGUUUGUUGGUGGGGUAAUGGCCUACCAAGACUACGAUCUAUAGCUGGUCUGAGAGGAUGAUCAGCCACACUGGGACUGAGACACGGCCCAGACUCCUACGGGAGGCAGCAGUGGGGAAUAUUGCACAAUGGGCGCAAGCCUGAUGCAGCCAUGCCGCGUGAGUGAAGAAGGCCUUAGGGUUGUAAAACUCUUUCACCGGUGAAGAUAAUGACGGUAGCCGGUAAAGAAGCCCCGGCUAACUCCGUG
rnacentral:rRNA from 1 species